rnacentral:rRNA from 1 species
GCGAACGCUGGCGGCAGGCCUAAUACAUGCAAGUCGAGCGGUCCCUUCGGGGGCAGCGGCGGACGGGUGAGUAACGCGUGGGAACGUGCCCUUUGGUACGGAACAACUGAGGGAAACUUCAGCUAAUACCGUAUGUGCCCUUUGGGGGAAAGAUUUAUCGCCAUUGGAGCGGCCCGCGUUAGAUUAGCUAGUUGGUAGGGUAAAGGCCUACCAAGGCGACGAUCUAUAGCUGGUCUGAGAGGAUGAUCAGCCACACUGGGACUGAGACACGGCCCAGACUCCUACGGGAGGCAGCAGUAGGGAAUCUUGCGCAAUGGGCGAAAGCCUGACGCAGCCAUGCCGCGUGAAUGAUGAAGGUCUUAGGAUUGUAAAAUUCUUUCACCGGGGACGAUAAUGACGGUACCCGGAGAAGAAGCCCCGGCUAACUUCGUGCCAGCCGCCGCAGUAAUAC